rnacentral:rRNA from 1 species
UGGGGAAUAUUGCACAAUGGGCGCAAGCCUGAUGCAGCCAUGCCGCGUGUAUGAAGAAGGCCUUCGGGUUGUAAAGUACUUUCAGCGGGGAGGAAGGGAGUAAAGUUAAUACCUUUGCUCAUUGACGUUACCCGCAGAAGAAGCACCGGCUAACUCCGUGCCAGCAGCCGCGGUAAUACGGAGGGUGCUAGCGUUAAUCGGAAUUACUGGGCGUAAAGCGCACGCAGGCGGUUUGUUAAGUCAGAUGUGAAAUCCCCGGGCUCAACCUGGGAACUGCAUCUGAUACUGGCGAGCUUGAGUCUCGUAGAGGGAGGUAGAAUUCCGGGUGUAGCGGUGAAAUGCGUAGAGAUCUGGAGGAAUACCGGUGGCGAAGGCGGCCCCCUGGACGAAGACUGACGCUGAGAUGCGAAAGCGUGGGGAGCAAACAGG